CAGAAAACCGGCCACUCCCGCCGGGCCUUUGGCAGAUUCACCCAUGUUUUCCGCUCCUGCAGAAAGCAAAGUUACGACUCGGAGACGGGCGAGGAUGACAUCAGCGAUGUGCAGGGGACCCAGCGCCUGGAGCUUCGGGAUGACGGGGACUUCAGCACCCCCACGGGGGGCUCCGACACCCUGGUGGGCACCUCCCUGGACACACCCCCGACCUCCGUGACAGGCACCUCAGAGGAGCAAGUGAGC
rnacentral:lncRNA from 1 species